GCUUACGGCCACACCGCCUGGUUCACGCUUGAUCUCGGAAGCUAAGAUAGGUUGGGCCUGGUUAGUACUUGGAUGGGAGACCGCCUGGGAAUACCAGGUGCUGUAGGCU
ensembl:rRNA 5S_rRNA 5S ribosomal RNA